rnacentral:rRNA from 1 species
AGGCCCGAACCGAUAUACGUUGAAAAGUGUUCGGAUGACCUGUGGAUAGGGGGGGUGAAAGGCCAAUCAAGGUUGGUGAUAGCUGGUUCUCUUCGAAAUGCAUUUAGGUGCAGCGUCAUGUGUUUGCCUGUGGGGGGGGUAGAGCACUGAAUGGGCUAGGGGGGGGCAUACCGCUUACUGAACCCAAUCAAACUCCGAAUACCACAGGUUAAGAGCAUGGCAGUGAGACUGCGGGUGAGAAGGUCCGUAGUCGAGAGGGUAAGAGCCCAGACCGUCGGUUAAGGUCCCGGAGUGUGUACUAAGUGGGAAAGGAUGUGAGAAUGGUUAGACAACCAGGAGGUUGGCUUAGAAGCAGCCACCCUUUAAAGAAAGCGUAACAGCUCACUGGUCUAGCGUUUUUGCGCCGAAGAUAUAACGGGGGGGCUAAGUACACCACCGAAGCCACGGACUUCAGAUUUAUCUGGAGUGGUAGAAGAGCAUUCUGUACAGCGUUGAAUGUUACUGUAAGGUUAGCUGGAGCGUACAGAAGAGAUAAUGUAGGCAUUAGUAGCGAUAAAAUGGGUGAGAAACCCAUUCACCGAAAGUCUAAGGUUUCCACCGGCAGGGUAAUCCGCGGUGGGUUAGUCGGUCCCUAAGGCGAGGGCGAAAGCCGUAGUCGAUGGGAAACAGGUUAAUAUUCCUGUACCGACUCAUAUUCGUUUGUACGAUGGAGUGACAAAGAAGGUUAAGUGGUCCGGGUGAUGGAAGUCCCGGUUUAAGCGUGUAGUCUGAGCUGGCAGGUAAAUCCACCGGCUUAAGGAUGAGGCGUUAUGACGAGCCCCCCCGUAACAAGGGCGAAGCCACUGAUACCAUGCUUUCGAGAAAAACUUCUAAGGAGAAUAUGAGUCGUCCGUACCGCAAACCGACACAGGUAGACGAGAAGAGAAUUCUAAGGUGUUCGAGAGAAUCAUGGUUAAGGAACUCGGCAAAAUGUCACCGUAACUUCGGGAUAAGGUGAGCUCUUAGUAUGUGUAAUCCCUCGCGGAUGUAGCAGAACAGAGUCGCAGAGAAGAGGUCCAGGCGACUGUUUAUCAAAAACAUAGCACUCUGCUAACUGGUAACAGGAUGUAUAGGGUGUGACGCCUGCCCGGUGCUGGAAGGUUAAGAGGAGGUGUUAGCGCAAGCGAAGCUCCGAAUUGAAGCCCCCCCAGUAAACGGCGGCCGUAACUAUAACGGUCCUAAGGUAGCGAAAUUCCUUGUCGGGUAAGUUCCGACCUGCACGAAUGGCGUAACGAUCUGGACGCUGUCUCAACCAUGAACUCGGCGAAAUUGCAGUAGCGGUGAAAAUGCCGUUUACCCGCAGCAGGACGGAAAGACCCCCCCGUGGACCUUUACUAUAGUUUGGCAAUGAUACUUGGUAUAUUAUGUGUAGGAUAGGUGGGAGACGUUGAAAUGUGGUCGCUAGAUUGCAUGGAGUCAACCUUGAAAUACCACCCUUAAUGUGCUGAUUAUCUAACCUAGCCGGUGUGUAACCGGAGGGACAUUGUCUGACGGGUAGUUUGACUGGGGGGGCGGUCGCCUCCGAAAGAGUAACAGAGGCGCGCGAAGGUAUUCUCAGAUUGGUUGGAAACCAAUUGACGAGUGUAAAGGCAUAAGAAUGCUUGACUGCGAGACUUACAAGUCGAGCAGGUAGGAAACUAGGCCUUAGUGAUCCGGUGGUUCCAAGUGGAAGGGCCAUCGCUCAACGGAUAAAAGGUACCCCCCCGGGGGGGA